rnacentral:misc_RNA from 1 species
AAGUCGUAACAAGGUUUCCGUAGGUGAACCUGCGGAAGGAUCAUUACCAAAUCCAAUAACAAACCACUGUGAACUGUAUCCAUGUCUUUGGGGGAAGAACGAUGAUCGUGUAAACGAUUACUGGUCUCCCCCAAAAGGAAUAACACAUACCUUUGGGUGUGUGUUUUCCUCAAUUGAACACCUUUAAACUUUGAUGGAUUGUUUUUCAAACGAUUAACAAAGACAACUUUUAACGGUGGAUCUCUUGGCUCGU